AGGUGGUCGCCCCCGAGACGCGCGGGCCUGGGGCGCGGGAGGGUUCCAGCUUAGCCUGGCGAAGGGGGAGGCGCUAGAAAUUCAGCGCUAGGAAACCCAGACACCAAAGCACCAAAUUUUAUGCUGUAGGCUGUUUUUUUCCCCCUUGAAGCACAGAAAUGUUCAGGCUGGAUCAGGAAUUGGGAAUGAAGACGGCUAGACAUCAGACCACGGGAAGAAGGGGAGACGUUGGGUGGCUGGCUAAGUAGGCUUUGUCUCCUCAGCCCCUGCUCUCCAAAAUGCGCCUUCCACUUUCAGAGCAUGUUCGGCUUUCCCGAUUUCAUCUGGAAAGUCUUCUGUCCCGGUCUUUCAAGGCCAAGGAAAACCUCAAAGCAGCACCUGAAAGGGCCCGCAUUUCGGGGGAGGGAACCGUUGUCAGGGUGCGGAGUUGGGGGGUCAACUGUAUACGAAUCCCUCAGAUAGGUUUGUGCUGCAAUGCGGCGGCUACCUGCUCCCCCACCCCACCCCCAGCAAGUUCCAAAGGAGCGCCUUCAGCUUCACAAGUUAAGCCUUUGUAGCAGCAGAUGGCUGUGGCCCACGCUGGUUUGGUUAACUUGGUACAGCUUGCUAGCAAGCUGAAAGUUGUAGAUUUGCUCUUUCGUUUGAUAGAAGUUAUUCAUGGAUGCAAAAUUGUCAGGAAUGCCCACACAGACUUCACCUACCUUUGUAAUUUACACUCUCGGCACAAACCCAAUCUGGAAUAUGACUAAUUAUAAACUAAAAGCCUUUACGUUACCAAAGAGCCUCUUCCUGUAGGCUAGGUUAGAUCAACUGAAUGCGCGCCAAGAUGUGUGUAUUUGGGAAUACUGGUAAAGGAUUUUACAGUAGAGUUUAGAAAACAGAUUCAUUCAAGAAAUCUUUAUUGAGUGCCAGGUAUGCUAUCAUUCUGCUUAGUCUGCUUAAAUGCUUAAGUGUUUUGAUAUUAAACAACAAAGAAGCUAUAUAAAAGAUUCAGUCAUUUAACACACUUGAGCACCUAUUCUGUGCCAGAUUGAACCCUGGAGAUGCAAAGUCUGAACAAGAAGGCACAGACCACAAAUGAUACCUUUGGGAUGAUAUGUCUACCAGCCUUUGAGUGUCCAAGGACUUUGUUUUGCACCAAUAAUAAUAACAACAACAACAGCAGCAGCAGCAGCAGCUAACACUUGCUGGGCAUCUUGAAACACGUGGAAAUUUGAAGAUGGAAACCAUUGCUAAGGAUGGCAGAGCAGAAAGAGAGGAGAUUGGGUUCUUUGUGACAGCAACGAGCUUCCAGACCAGCGCUGGAUGGAUGAUAUACCUCCAGACUUCUCCAUGUAAAAGAAAAACUUUUACCCAGUUUCAGGCACUAUUUCUGCUCAAACACAAUUUCUACCUGGUAAUAAAAAUAGUCCUGCCAAA